rnacentral:misc_RNA from 1 species
AAUAUUACGGAAACACAUUGGUUGAAUUUACUUUGUUCAGUUUUGAGAGGUUUACUUCUCAAACGUUUGUUCAUUGAAAACUGGAUAGUUGAAGUUAGACAUCAACAUAAUUUUUAAAACACCGAGUUGAUCAGUUUUAGUAAUAAAAUUGUGAUACAUAUAUAACUAUUUAGUGUUAGAUAUCGCUAUCUACAUUAAAUAAAACAAGUCUAACCAAUAGGUUAGAAAAAGG